UACGGGAGGCAGCAGUGGGGAAUAUUGCACAAUGGGCGCAAGCCUGAUGCAGCCAUGCCGCGUGUAUGAAAAAGGCCUUCGGGUUGUAAAGUACUUUCAGUCGUGAGGAAGGUGUUAAGGUUAAUAACCUUAGCAAUUGACGUUAGCGACAGAAGAAGCACCGGCUAACUCCGUGCCAGCAGCCGCGGUAAUACGGAGGGUGCGAGCGUUAAUCGGAAUUACUGGGCGUAAAGGGCACGCAGGCGGUUAAUUAAGUUGGAUGUGAAAUCCCCGGGCUUAACCUGGGAAUGGCAUUCAAGACUGGUUAGCUAGAGUCUUGUAGAGGGGGUAGAAUUCCAUGUGUAGCGGUGAAAUGCGUAGAGAUGUGGAGGAAUACCGGUGGCGAAGGCGGCCCCUGGACAAAGGCUGACGCUCGAUGUGCGAAAGCGUGGGGAGCAAACGAGGAUUAGAUACC
rnacentral:rRNA from 1 species